rnacentral:lncRNA from 1 species
UCCCUUCUGUGUAAUUGCCGGCACCCGCUUAGACAUCCCAGCGGGUGCCGAGCAGCUCUAUCUCCCUCUUUUCCCCUGCCGGGUUUACUUCCGCCCGGCGGUCUGAGGCCGCGGGGAGCUCUCUCCUCGCGGCCAUUACUGGAGGGGGGGUGGAGCAAGUUCGCCUUCGGCGCGCUUCUCUUCUCUGAAGCGCGGGAAGGCUGAACGGCUCCUAGUUGCUCCUGCUGCCCUCCGUGGGCAAGGUUGUACGGUUUCUAUUUUCCCAUAUUUGCUUCUAAGGGUUAAUCAACCCUUUUUCUCACUACCCUUCUCUUUGUUUGUUUGUUUGUAUCCUGUAAGUUUUUUCUGCAGUUUAGUCUGUAACUGACUGUGUGCUGGGGGUUUGUUUCUGGGUUAAUUUAAUUUAAAGACAUCUCUCCCAAUAAAUAAAAAAAAAAAAAAAUAAAAAAUAAAAAAAAAAUAAAAAAUAAUAAUAAUAAUAAUAAAGGAAAACCCUGUGGGAUUUAUCCAGACCUGUUGCUCCCUGCCUAGCACACAUAUUCAGUCAUUCCCAUUCAGUCAUUUCCAUUGGUUGCACACCUAUUCAGUCAUUCCCAUUGGUGAAUUGGAUAAUACAAUGCAAAAUCACGGGGAUGGACAUGGGGGCCCUGGAUGCCCUAAUAUAGAGAAUACCUUACCCACCCCUGGCCUAGACCCGGGUCUUUUACCCUCUCAGGAAUUCCAGUCUCUCCUGGAAUCAACUAUGGCCGGUUCGGUCCAGCGAGCCUUGGCUUCAGCCAUGGGCUCGGUGUCCACCUCCCUAUCCCAUUCUCUGGCCCAGGCACUCAUGUUGCCCCCUGAAGUGCAACCUACUAUAACGGCCCAAACUGAUAUACCAGUCCCUGCGGCCCGCAAGGCAAAAGCCAAGACUAAGCAUACAUCAACGCUCCCACUGAUGCAGGUCUCCCCUGCCAUGACUGACCCGCCUAUGGCGGUCGUGUUGCCACGCACAAGAGCCACUGGUCGGGCGCAAGCGGCCAGAAAUUGGAAACGGGCACGUGCCCAAUACGAAGAGUCAGAUUCUGACAAUAGUGAGGAGAUGGGGUCAGACGACCCGGAUUAUAUUUACAAUGCUAUGGCUUCUGACUCAGAUGAGGAGUCUAGUCCUGUAGUGGAACCGACGGGUGUGGAGGAUGGUGUUCGGGACCCUCAAGGGUAUCCCCUGUUCGACCCGGACAACCUCCGCCACCCUCGCUCGGCGGAGUGGGACCCGCCAACGCACAUUGCGCAGUAUUUGGCGCUCCGUCUGCGUACCCCUCUCUCUAACGAGAGUAGGAAUAAACUCCGGGCAGAGUGUCCCAGACCCUCCGUACCAGACAUGGCCUGCAAAACCCCCAUGGUGGACCCACAUAUCGCCCAAUUCCUCUCAAAAUCUGGCUGGAAGCCCAAGAAGGGGCUGGAGUUCUCACUCCACAGCUGUCAAGACAAAAUACUAGACACCCUGGGGCCAACCACAAAAUUAUAUGAAUUACUCGAAUCCGCUAAAGCGGGAGAGUCCACCAUUGAUUUCGAUGUAGCCAUCGGAUGGGUCCAACGGCUUAUCUGCUUGUUGGGUAAUGCCAACACAGCCAUCUCGGCGGAACGCCGUAAAUCAAUCCUACUUAAGAUUGAACCUAAGUUGAUUAACUUGGCAAAUAGAGAACCUGGACCCACAGCCCAGGGAAUGUUAUUUGGAGAGUCCUUUGUCAAGGACAUCGGGGCUUUUGUCAAAACUUUUACUACUUUAGAUAAGGCUCAGGCCAACCUUAAGAAAGUGUUUAACCCCAAGGUUUUGCACGGGGCCGGGAGAUCUAGGAGCCGUCCACCCGGCCGAGUCUAUCGGGGCCCCUCCAGGGCCCAUAGAGGCUCCUUCGGAGCGCCCCGCACGUACCAGGAGUUCCGUCCGUCACCCUUCUUUCCGUCCAGGGGACGUCCAUGGCCUUCUCGGGGAAGCCGCAGGCAAUCUACUUACAGGCGACCUUACGGUAAGUGCAAUAUCUCUCAUUCCUCCACAUCUACACAUAGGGGGCAGGCUCGCGCUGUUUGCGCAUGCAUGGGACGAGCUCACAAAAGACGCUUGGGUGUUACAAACCGUCAGGGGUUUCUAUCUCGACCUUUUAUCUACCCCAUUCCAAAUCCAUGCCCCAAGAGAACUGACACUGGCCCCAGACCAAACCAAACUCAUAACAAAGGAGAUUACAGAUCUCCAUGCCAAACGGGCAAUCCAAGAGAUCCCAUACGAUACACCAGGUUUUACCAGCAACUUAUUUUUGGUAGCCAAAAAAGGCGGAGGUAUGUGGCCAGUCAUAAACUUAAAGGAACUCAAUGCGUUCCUCGCAUACCAACACUUCAAAAUGGAGGGCAUUCAUUGCCUCAGAGAUUUACUACAACAGGGAGAUUGGAUGGUCAAAUUGGACCUCAAGGACGCGUACCUCACCGUCCCUAUUGCGGAGGCACACUGGGACCUCUUGCAUUUCACAUGGCUAGGGCGACGUUGGAGAUUUACAUGUCUGCCCUUCGGUCUCUCAUCGGCCCCCUGGUGCUUCACAAAACUCAUGAAGCCUGUGGUAGCCUUUCUCAGAGCACGAGGAAUUCGUCUGAUCAUAUAUCUGGACGAUAUUUUAAUCAUGGCAUCCUCACAAGACCAAGUACUGCUCCACCUACAGUGGACCAUCACGUUACUCGAGACUCUGGGCUUUUUGAUAAAUUGGGAAAAAUCCAUAACCAAUCCGGCCCAAAAGAUAGAGUUCCUGGGAUUCCAGAUCGACGCAAUCUCACAAUUCUUACUCCUCCCGGAAACGAAAUUGAAGGCCAUCAAAAAAGAGAUCAGGCGCACAUUACGAGCUCAAUCUCUCUCUAUUCGACAACUAGCUCGAGUCUUAGGACUACUGGCUUCCUCGAUACAAGCCAUCUUCCCAGGGCCUCUACACUAUCGUGCCCUACAGCGGCUAAAAGGUUCUCACCUCAGGUCCGGCCGUUCAUACGAAUCCGCACUAGUCCUGGAUGUGGAAUCACGGGAGGAGCUGAGGUGGUGGCUAGACCAUAUGGAGGCGUGGAACGGCCGAGCAAUAUUUGGAACCAGCCCGGACCUGAUUAUAGAAUCGGAUGCAAGCCUCCAUGGCUGGGGCGCGCGUUGUGGCAACAUAUCCACCGGUGGCAGAUGGUCCAUGGAGGAAUCCACAAUGCACAUAAAUUGCCUGGAACUUCUGGCAGGAUCGUUCGCCGUCCGCAGUCUCUCCCCUACGGUAGGGAGAUGUUGUAUACUGCUCCGUAUGGACAACAUCUCGGCAGUCCGUUAUAUCAAUCAUCUAGGAGGCACCAAAUCCAAACGACUAGCAAACCUAGCGAAAGAAUUUUGGCAGUUUUGCCUUCAGAACGAGAUUGCGGUGACAGCGGAACACAUUCCGGGCUUGGACAACGUACAAGCGGACUGGAAUUCCAGAUAUCUGAGAGAUCCGGGAGACUGGCGCCUUCUCCGCUCUACCUUUUGCCAAAUAGACGAAUUGUGGGGACCACUGGAUGUAGACCUUUUUGCAUCCAGACUGAACAGUCAUCUGCCUCGAUACUUCAGCUGGCGACCAGAUCCAACAGCCUCGGGGACGGAUGCUUUCCUGCAGACGUGGCCGAAGUCUCGACAUUACGCAUUUCCCCCUUUCAAUCUCAUUUCCAGGACACUAUCAUACCUAUGCACACAGGACUGUUCACUAGUGAUAGUGGUUCCACUAUGGCAUGCUCAGCCGUGGUUUCCUCGUCUACUAGAAAUGGCAAUCGACUCUCCACGAGUAAUACCAUCAACACCAGACUUGCUAUUGGAUCCAGAGGGGAAUCCGCACAACCUGAUCAAUCAGGGCUUGCUGCAACUCACGGUCUGGUUGAUUUCCGGAGUCCCUGGACGUUCACAGACAUUCCACAGACGGUUACAAGACUCAUGGAUAACUCCUGGGCUCCAGGGACCAGAGCAGCCUAUAACUCUGC